GCUGACGAGCGGCGGACGGGUGAGUAAUGCAUAGGAAACUGCCCAGUAGUGGGGGAUAGCCCGGGGAAACCCGGAUUAAUACCGCGUACGCCCUUCGGGGGAAAGCAGGGGAUCUUCGGACCUUGCGCUAUUGGAUGUGCCUAUGUCGGAUUAGCUAGUUGGUGGGGUAAAGGCCUACCAAGGCGACGAUCCGUAGCUGGUCUGAGAGGAUGAUCAGCCACAUCGGGACUGAGACACGGCCCGAACUCCUACGGGAGGCAGCAGUGGGGAAUAUUGGACAAUGGGGGCAACCCUGAUCCAGCCAUGCCGCGUGUGUGAAGAAGGCUUUCGGGUUGUAAAGCACUUUCAGUGAGGAGGAAAAGUUGGUCGUUAAUACCGGCCAGCCUUGACGUUACUCACAGAAGAAGCACCGGCUAACUCCGUGCCAGCAGCCGCGGUAAUACGGAGGGUGCAAGCGUUAAUCGGAAUUACUGGGCGUAAAGCGCGCGUAGGUGGUUUGAUAAGCGAGAUGUGAAAGCCCCGGGCUUAACCUGGGAACGGCAUUUCGAACUGUCAGGCUAGAGUAUGGUAGAGGAGUGUGGAAUUUCCUGUGUAG
rnacentral:rRNA from 1 species